GCCCUCCGCCAUUUUCCUAACCCUAGCGUCGCCCAAGACCCCUCCUCUAGCAGAGAGAACAGAUGGACACCUCUCCUUCUAGACCAAACCUAGCCGCCACCCCCCACUCUCUCGUCCUCACCUCCUACACUCACCUCAUCUCACUCACACACAGUUAGAAGCGCAGAUUAGUAGCUAGGAAUUCUGGAAAUACAAAUUUCCCGGAUCUGAAACAAAUACUCCAAAAAUAAAAGCAAAAAAUUAAAACAAAGAGAUUUCAAAAGCUGUUUCCUCCUCUAUUUGUUGCGGCACAUUUUCUGUGAUUUGAAAGAUUGUUUUGAGCUUGGAAGUGCUAAUCACUGCUGACUGUUGCUAGAUCAGCCUUGCUGAGCUUCAUCCUUACGGAUUCUAGCCUUUAUUUGGCUUUUCAAAAUCUGUCUCCAUUAUGCCGAUAGAUUUGUCUACAUGUGAGUGUUCUGUUAUAAUCUAAUUCUAAACUGACUGUUUGAAGCUGAAACUCUAAGGUGAAAUCGUCCAAAUGCUUUAAUGCCAUGUCACAGAUUCAGCUUGUAUACAUACUUACUGCCGUCCAUGCACUGAUUUAAUUUUUGAUGAGUUUGAAUUCCAGUUCAUACCAUUUCUGAUAUUGAAAUUAAUUGAGAUUAUAGCAUAACCAUUAGAGAAUUAAUUGAUCCAAUGAAACUCUGGAGUUAACUCAAGUGUUUGAUUUUAUAGUCGGGAUCUCGUUCUGUUUCACAUGGCACGUCUUAUUGAUUCAAUGAUAACAGUCUUCUAUUGGUGGUUGCAAAUUAAGAAAUCAGUGUAGAAGGUCAGGAAGAUUGGUGGGUCAUCACUGUUUAGGUAGUUAGUCUCAUUAGUUAGAGACUCGUGGUCAAUUUUAGAUAAUAUCUAUAGACAUACAUGUAAUUCAUUCCACAUUUGGUUGUAUAUUUGUUAAUUUUGAUUUGAUGCAAUUGGUUAUUGAUUUGAGAGUGUUUGAACACAAACAAGUUCAGAUUUGAGAGGCUCAGCACAUCUAAAAUUUGUGAGCUGCACUUGGUCUACUUGAGAUCUCAUGUGCUUCCUUAGACAAACACAACCCAUAAUUGUAUUAGCUUCCCCUAACCAACAUUAAUUUGGAAAGAAACAUUCAAUCACAUUUGACAAAUCUUUACUGUUUGUUCAA